rnacentral:rRNA from 1 species
UGGGGAAUUGUUCGCAAUGGGCGCAAGCCUGACGACGCAACGCCGCGUGGAGGAUGAAGACCUUCGGGUUGUAAACUGCUGUCACGCUCUAGGAAACCCAUGCCGUUAAUAGCGGUAUGGCUGACUAAAGCGAGAGGAAGUGGCGGCUAACUCUGUGCCAGCAGCCGCGGUAAGACAGAGGCCACAAACGUUGUUCGGAAUCACUGGGCAUAAAGCGCACGUAGGCGGCUAGGUCCGUCCAAUGUGAAAGCCCCCGGCUCAACCGGGGAAUUGCAUCGGAUAUAGCCUGGCUUGAGGACGGUUGGGGUGAGUGGAACUCCUGGUGGAGCGGUGAAAUGCGUAGAUAUCAGGAGGAACACCGGUGGCGAAAGCGGCUCACUGGACCGUAACUGACACUGAGGCGCGAAAGCGUGGGGAGCAAACAGGAUUAGAUACCCAGGUAGUCCCUGAGCGGGC